CCUACGGGUGGCAGCAGUGGGGAAUAUUGGGCAAUGGGCGCAAGCCUGACCCAGCAACGCCGCGUGAAGGAAGAAGGCUUUCGGGUUGUAAACCUCUUUUCUCAGGGACGAAGCAAGUGACGGUACCUGAUGAAUAAGCCACGGCUAACUACGUGCCAGCAGCCGCGGUAAUACGUAGGCGGCAAGCGUUAUCCGUAUUUACUGGUUGUAAGGGGCGCGUAGGCGGGCCUGCAAGUCAGAUGUGAAAACCACGGGCUCAACCUGUGGCCUGCAUUUGAAACUGUAGUUCUUGAGUACUGGAGAGGCAGACGGAAUUCCUAGUGUAGCGGUGAAAUGCGUAGAUAUUAGGAGGAACACCAGUGGCGAAGGCAGUCUGCUGGACAGCAACUGACGCUGAGGCGCGAAAGCGUGGGGAGCAAACAGGAUUAGAUACCCGAGUAGUC
rnacentral:rRNA from 1 species